rnacentral:rRNA from 1 species
GACGAACGCUGGCGGCGUGCCUAAUACAUGCAAGUCGAGCGGAUGGAAGGAAGCUUGCUUCCUAAAGUCAGCGGCGGACGGGUGAGUAACACGUGGGCAACCUGCCCCUAAGAUCGGGAUAACUUCGGGAAACCGGAGCUAAUACCGGAUAUGAUUAUGUCUCACAUGAGACAUAAUGGAAAGACGGUUUCGGCUGUCACUUAGGGAUGGGCCCGCGGCGCAUUAGCUAGUUGGUGAGGUAACGGCUCACCAAGGCGACGAUGCGUAGCCGACCUGAGAGGGUGAGCGGCCAAACUGGGACUGAGACACGGCACAGACUCCUACGGGAGGCAGCAGUAGGGAAUCUUCCGCAAUGGACGAAAGUCUGACGGAGCAACGCCGCGUGAGUGAAGAAGGUUUUCGGAUCGUAAAACUCUGUUGUUAGGGAAGAACAAGUACCAUAGUAACUGAUGGUACCUUGACGGUACCUAACCAGAAAGCCACGGCUAACUACGUGCCAGCCGCCGCAGUAACAC